rnacentral:rRNA from 1 species
UUCCAGCAGCCGCGGUAAUACGGAGGGUGCAAGCGUUGUUCGGAAUUAUUGGGCGUAAAGCGCGUGUAGGCGGCUAGGAAAGUCGGAUGUGAAAGCCCGGGGCCCAACCCCGGAACUGCAUUCGAAACUUCCUGGCUAGAGUCUCGGAGAGGAGAGCGGAAUUCCCGGUGUAGAGGUGAAAUUCGUAGAUAUCGGGAGGAACACCAGCGGCGAAGGCGGCUCUCUGGACGAUGACUGACGCUGAGACGCGAAAGCGUGGGGAGCAAAUAGGAUUAGAUAC